UACGUAGGGUGCGAGCGUUAAUCGGAAUUACUGGGCGUAAAGCGAGCGCAGGCGGUUUUGUAAGUCAGAUGUGAAAGCCCCGGGCUCAACCUGGGAACUGCGUUUGAAACUGCAAGGCUAGAGUAUGGGAGAGGGGGGUAGAAUUCCACGUGUAGCAGUGAAAUGCGUAGAGAUGUGGAGGAAUACCAAUGGCGAAGGCAGCCCCCUGGCCUAAUACUGACGCUCAUGCUCGAAAGCGUGGGGAGCAAACAGG
rnacentral:rRNA from 1 species